AUACGGAGGGUGCAAGCGUUAUCCGGAAUCAUUGGGUUUAAAGGGUCCGUAGGCGGACUAUUAAGUCAGAGGUGAAAUCCCACAGCUCAACUGUGGAACUGCCUUUGAUACUGGUAGUCUUGAGUUAUAUGGAAGUAGAUAGAAUGUGUAGUGUAGCGGUGAAAUGCAUAGAUAUUACACAGAAUACCGAUUGCGAAGGCAGUCUACUACGUAUAUACUGACACUAAGGGACGAAAGCGUGGGGAGCGAACAGGAUUAGAAACCCGGGUAGUCC
rnacentral:rRNA from 1 species